ACAAAUACAAAUAGGAACAUACACACACAGAGACAAAAUCAGCACAAUAACAAACAAUAUAUUUUUUUCGUGUCACUUCGAUCUAACACUUUCUUUCUCUUUCUCUUUUUUUUUUCUUCUCUAUCUCUUUCUAACUACUAAU
rnacentral:ribozyme from 13 species